GGCGCCAUAGCCAAGAGGUAAGGCAGAGGUCUGCAAAACCUUUACUCCUCGGUUCGAUUCCGAGUGGCGCCUCCA
rnacentral:tRNA from 1 species